rnacentral:lncRNA from 1 species
AGUUUUGUCAAUAGUGUCUCAUGUGCAUUUUCUGAGUGUGAAGAGGAUUUGGGUAGGCAAGACUAGAGAACAGCAGGAAGUCAUUGCCUAUUAAAUUUUUAUUUCCAGCCAUUCACUGAUGUAUUGGUAAGAGGACAGGAGUCCUGGGGAAAGACUGCCUCAUUUACACUCCAAAGACUUGGGUUCUGAUCUCCAUGUCGUGGCUUAUCAUAGUGUAAGCCAGUUAUGUACCUCUAGAAAUGGAAGUUUCUGCUGUUUAUAAACUGGAAAUAAUGAUACAUGUCCUGACUCCUAUUGGGUUGUUGCAAAGGAAUCAAUUGAAAUAAGACAAGACUUUCUGAAGGCACUUUGCCAACUUUCAGAACUGUAAAGAUUAAGGGACUGCUACUAUGUGCUGCUCAGGAAAUAACAGGCACCUGGGAAAACCCACGAAGUAAGGUUUUGUAAGAAGUUGCUCUGCUCCCUGGGAGAAAACGCGGAGCUCAACACUGCCAAGAGGAACAAGUCUGGGAAAUUACGACAUGAGGGCCCUUGUGAAUUGAUGAAUAUGAAGACACUAAGAAAGCAGAAAUAGAACUGAGAAGAAUGAAAUAACUGUCUCUACCUUUCUCGAAUUGUCUAAUAUGGAAAGAAUGAAAGACAGCUAAUAAGCAACUCUCUGCAAGAAGACAUAUGGCUUAGAAUCUACUUGGAGAGAGUCAAACACAGAAUCCCUUUGAAUUUAAUGGCCAUUCCAGGUGAUUUGAACAGCCAAAUAAGAAACAGGUCCUCUUCAAUGUACAAUCUGCCAAGUAUGAAGUCUGAAUGACCAUCAUUAUUAUGUAUUUAAUGUGCAUAGAAAAUCUAUCUGCAACCUUCCAGAGUGUACCAGAAGUUUGGAAUGUACAUUAUUAUUGGCUCCAUCUCAAACCACUCAUAAAUCAAAGAAAAUAGCAGUUCCAGAGGAAUCAUCAUAGAGGCUUCUAGGCCCCCAUGCUGUGUGAACCUGGUGAGAAAGGGAAGUCUGCUCUCACUGGACACUGGAACUGUUUGUCUCUGUCUCUGCUGUACUUUCCCUGCCUCUACCUCACUUAGUAAAGAAAUCAUCUUUGCUUGAUAACUAAAACAACCAAUAAGGCUGAGAAAGGGGAAAACCCACAUCUGGAUUUAAAUACAAGGUAUUGGGCCAGCUGCUGGGGAUUAAACUUUGAACAAAACAGAUAGAAUCUAUGUCCUCAUGGGAGUGGCUAAUGGGAGAGUCGGAACAAAAAAAUAGCCAAGGAUAAUCCAGCAAAUGAUUUGGUGAAUGCUAUCAAAGAGAGAAAUACACAUGCUCUGGGAACACCAAACAGAGUCUUGCUCUUGUUGCCCAGGCUGGAGUAUGAUGGUGCGAUCUCAGUUCACUGCAACCCCUGCCUCCCAGGUUCAAGUGAUUCUCCUACCUCAGCCUCC